rnacentral:rRNA from 1 species
UAGAGUUUGAUCCUGGCUCAGGACGAACGCUGGCGGCGUGCCUAGUACAUGCAAGUCGAGCGGAUUUAUCCUUCGGGAUAAGUUAGCGGCGGACGGGUGAGUAACACGUAGGCAACCUGCCUAUAAGACUGGGAUAACUACCGGAAACGAUAGCUAAGACCGGAUAACUGAUUUUCUCGCAUGAGAAAAUUAUGAAACACGGAGCAAUCUGUGGCUUAUAGAUGGGCCUGCGGCGCAUUAGCUAGUUGGGGGGUAACGGCCCACCAAGGCGACGAUCGAUAGGGAUCCUGAGAGGGAGGUCCCCCACACUGGUACUGAGACACGGGCCAGACUCCUACGGGAGGCAGCAGUAGGGAAUAUUGGGCAAUGGAGGCAACUCUGACCCAGCCAUGCCGCGUGCAGGAAGAAGGCCCUCUGGUUGUAAACUGCUUUUGGACGGGGACAAAAAGAUCAUGCGUGGUCAAUUGAGUGUACCGUCAGAAUAAGCACCGGCUAACUCCGUGCCAGCAGCCGCGGUAAUACGGAGGGUGCAAGCGUUGUCCGGAUUUAUUGGGUUUAAAGGGUGCGUAGGUGGCCUGAUAAGUCAGUGGUGAAACCCUUGGGCUUAACCCAAGGAGUGCCAUUGAUACUGUCAGGCUUUGGUUACCUCUAGGCGGGCCGAAUUGGAUGGUGUAGCGGUGAAAUGCAUACAUUUUCACCAGAAACCCCGACGGCAAAGGGCACUUCGCUGGGGGUUAACCAACCUGGAGGCACGAAUUCGGGGGGGAUCAACCGGGAUUAGAUA